rnacentral:rRNA from 1 species
CGGGGUGCAGCAGGCGCGAAAACUUUACAAUGCGGGAAACCGUGAUAAGGGAACUCUGAGUGCCCGUAAAAUCGGGCUGUCCAUCAGUUUAAAUAACUGGUGAAGAAAGGGCCGGGCAAGACCGGUGCCAGCCGCCGCGGUAAUACCGGCGGCUCGAGUGGUGGCCACUAUUACUGGGCUUAAAGCGUUCGUAGCUGGUUUGUUAAGUCUCUGGGGAAAUCUUCCGGCUUAACCGGAAGGCGUCUCAGGGAUACUGGCAGACUAGGGACCGGGAGAGGUGAGGGGUACUUCAGGGGUAGGAGUGAAAUCCUGUAAUCCUUGAGGGACCACCUGUGGCGAAGGCGCCUCACCAGAACGGCUCCGACAGUGAGGGACGAAAGCUGGGGGAGCAAACCGGAUUAGAUACCCGGGUAGUCCCAGCUGUAAACGAUGCGCGUUAGGUGUAUCGGUGACCACGAGUCACCGAGGUGCCGAAGAGAAAUCGUGAAACGUGCCGCCUGGGAAGUACGGUCGCAAGGCUGAAACUUAAAGGAAUUGGCGGGGGAGCACAAGGGCAAUUCGCG